rnacentral:rRNA from 1 species
CCUACGGGGGGCUGCAGUGAGGAAUAUUGGUCAAUGGACGAGAGUCUGAACCAGCCAAGUAGCGUGAAGGAUGACUGCCCUAUGGGUUGUAAACUUCUUUUAUAUGGGAAUAAAAUGUUCCACGUGUGGGAUUUUGUAUGUACCAUAUGAAUAAGGAUCGGCUAACUCCGUGCCAGCAGCCGCGGUAAUACGGAGGAUCCGAGCGUUAUCCGGAUUUAUUGGGUUUAAAGGGAGCGUAGGUGGAUUGUUAAGUCAGUUGUGAAAGUUUGCGGCUCAACCGUAAAAUUGCAGUUGAAACUGGCAGUCUUGAGUACAGUAGAGGUGGGCAGAAUUCGUGGUGUAGCGGUGAAAUGCUUAGAUAUCACGAAGAACUCCGAUUGCGAAGGCAGUUCACUGGACUGCAACUGACACUGAGGCUCGAAAGUGUGGGUAUCAAACAGGAUUAGAUACCCGAGUAGUC